rnacentral:lncRNA from 1 species
GUUACACUGGCAGACUGCGCUGGGAAAGGUGCUGGACAUCGCUUCAUCCUGUUCUCCCUGGAUGAUCUCUGCCAGCUGGUCCAUUAAACAUUUAUGCAGAUAAUACCCUGGUGGCCUGCCUGUGAUCUCUGGACCUGCUGGAGUUGCAGGAGAGGACCCUACAGAAGCCUGGCAACAUUUUCCCAGGCAUCAAGAGAAAGGAGGACUAUUGCUCUCUCUCUUCCACAAAGUCUUGCUAUUCAAAGUGAGAUUGUGAAGCCAGGCAUAGCGGCUCACGCCUCUGAUCCACGCACUUUGGGAGGCUGUGGCGGAUGGAUCACUUGAGUCUGGAGUUGAGGCCAGCCUGGCCAAAAUGGUGAAACCCCAUCUCUACUAAAAAUACAAAAAAUUAGCCGGGCAUGGUGGCACACAUCUGUAAUCCCAGCUACUUGGGAGGCUGAGGCAGGAGAAUUCUUGAACCAGGGAAGUGGAGAUUGCACUGAGGUGAAAUCAUGUCACUGCACUCCAGCUUGGGUGACAGAGUAAGACUCUGUCUUAAAACAAAAACAAGAACAAAAAAAC